rnacentral:siRNA from 1 species
CUUCAGGGAUGAAUUCGAACGC